rnacentral:rRNA from 1 species
CGGAAUUGCUAGUAAUGGCAGGUCAGCAUACUGCCGUGAAUACGUUCCCGGGCCUUGUACACACCGCCCGUCACACCAUGAGAGUUGGGAAUACCCGAAGCCUGUGACUCAACCUUUAAGGAGAGAGCCGUCGAAGGCAGGUCUGAUAACUGGGGUGAAGUCGUAACAAGGUAGC